CACACCUUUAAAAGAAUCCUUUUUGGUACUAGAGAGCUAAAUGCUAAGCUUAGGUAUCAGCAGCUAAUUAGCUUCACAUCUAGGGGGGAUUGUCAAUGAACUCCAUCUCCUGAAUAUUUAUUGAAGGAUUUGUGAAGAAUAAGCUAUCUUCAGAAAACUGGAGCCUAUUGCCAGUCAGUUGAAUGGGAGGAGACAUGUACACGGCCCAUCACAAACCUGACUUAGAGAUUCAAACAAUAAAAUUCAGUCUCUGCAUCGUAGUGAGAGCACACCAUCUCUGUCUCAUGUUGAAUGUUGUUCAUUUCAACAUCUUAACUGACUUCUCUUUUUGAAGAAAUUGGACAACAUGCUCUGGAAAUCCUGUGCCAGUUCUGGUGUUCUUGAAUCACACUAUGGCUUUUGUCACCUUCUUUGCUGUUGUUCUGUGCCAUCUUGGGCUAGGAAAGUGUGCCAUUGUGUCUUAGGGAACCCUCAAAAUGGAUGAACUGCUACACAUAAUCUGUAAUUUUGGUGUGGUGGGACUGUGUGGUCUGUUACGGACCUUGUUAAUGCCUAGAGUUUCUAUACUGCCCUCCACCUCUACCCCUGCCUUUGCCAAGGCCACUGCUGGUAUCUUCAUAGCCUCCUGCACACUUCCCGCUGCUGCUUUGCCAACAAAAUUGCCACCUGUUCCAGCACAACCAGUUGCACUAAGGCUGUCAUAGCGUCUGAUGCCAGCUGCCUUCAGUAGUGAUGUUGCCAAUGCUGUUCUGUCCUCAGAGGGGCCUCUCACCUUUUUUUAUUUUAGCAGAAAGACCCAAGUCAAAAUCACCAUGAAAACCAACCUAGAACAUACUUGUUCCCUGGGGACUCACGUAGCUCUAAUAGCGUACUUUGUAUUUUCCUGAUCUCGGAGCUGAGAAUUCAGAGGAUCUUGACAUCUUAGAUUUUCCAUAAUCCUCUUAUUGGGCCAUGUCCUGCUUCCUCACCAGUCUGAGGAAAAUUGAACACGUUUCUCACUUCUGAGACAUGGCUGUUUUUUGCUCAGAUCAAGGAAAUACGAACUACUGGAGCUCCAUGUUCAAUAAAUUAAAGACGUUAGACAUGUC